rnacentral:rRNA from 1 species
GGUGAAAUUCUUGGAUUUUGUGAAGACUAACUUCUGCGAAAGCAUUUGCCAAGGAUGUUUUCAUUAAUCAAGAACGAAGGUUAGGGGAUCGAAAACGAUCAGAUACCGUUGUAGUCUUAACAGUAAACUAUGCCGACUAGGGAUUGGACGAUGUUAUUUUCUUGACUCGUUCAGCACCUUACGAGAAAUCA